GCUGAGCUCGGUUGCGCGGGCUUGUAACCCAAGUGGGGGCAUUAAAGUGGUGUGGAUGUUUAGUGCGGACUCUGGGUUUGAGUCUGUGGUGUGCUCUUGCUGGCCCUGCCCGUUCCAAGUUGGUAGUGGCCUAUGCAGCCCAGGCGAAAGCUUGGGCUUUAUUGGACCUGAAGUGGCAGGAACGGCGUGAGGCUGGUUUCACAGAGCAGCGAUCACUGCCCGCUUCCAACGGUGGAAGGAUGACAGGCCGCUACAUCACGGGCCCAAUACAGGCUCAGGGUCCCUCUACAACAGACCAUCAUCUUU
rnacentral:SRP_RNA from 2 species